CCAACGCGAGUACGCGACCACGUUUCGAUUGUCAGGUAAGACCUCUCAACAUUUCAAUAUGACGUACCCAAAUAGCAGUUCACUACCGUUAAGUUUAAAUUGUGGUCGGUGAGAAGAAAACAGUAUUCCACUAUUGGUUAAGUAAGAAUUAUAGAUUUUCAGCAAAGAAUGUAGUAACAGUUAAAGUGUAGAAAUUAUCAUUGAGAUAGAGAGUAUAGUUUUGCAGUAAUUGAAUAAUAAAAUGUGAACUUAUGUUUUGGAGGAUAUCAGCCAGGGGUAAAUGGAGCCACUUGAACAGGUAUCAAACUCUUCUUGAGUAGUAAUUAUCUGGGAUGCAUCAUAGCAAUUUAAAUAUAAAAUUCCAAGUAAAUAGUGAUAGUUAUCCAAAAUAGCUACGUGGAUGUUAUGACAGUAAACCUCUCUUGAGUAAAACGGGAACCAUUCAGUGUCUUGCCAUGAAGAAGGAAAGGGUCCUGCUAGAGAAAAAUCUCAAUCACUUUUAUUUAUAUUGUGUCGGUCCCCUGCAUUUCAUGUUGUCUUUGUUUUUCAUUUGACUUAAAUUGAUAUUGGUAAGAAUAAUUUACUUAUAGUUUCCUCAGCGGCAUCAGUACCCUUAUGUAAUAACCCCAAAAGUUUCCCUCUGUUACUGACUCAAAUAUCAGAUGAAUCUUCUAUAGUCAAUUUUCUUCAGCACGAGCAACAAUAUUAAAUGGACUUAGACCAUGGAGGCAUGGACUACUUUAUUUUAAUGGACUGGACUCUUGUAGGAAUGGCAUGAUAAAAAAAAAACAGUCAGAAUUAUGGAGCUUCAGUUUUGGCCAUUGUAAGUUUCUUCAACAUGCUGGUAGAUCUCGAGAAGUAGCAGUACUGCUGACAGGGAACGUCAUUGAUGGCAAUGGAUAUAGGAAUGAGUUUUGAGAUCCAGGAAAACAGUGAAAUUCUCUUGCUCAAUGCUACCCCUUGGGCUAGUUUAAACAUUUGUGAAACAAGAUCUUUCGUGUUUACACAUGGUAUGAAUAUUAGUACUAAUGAAUAAAUAGCAUGAAUGUGGUGAUUUCCUGACUCCUGGCGUGUCUUUGCAGUGUUCCGACCCUAGGUAAAGGUUUUUUGGAUAGUGGAUUUUGCCAAAAAUCGACCAAAAUCAUUUUGACUAGAAUGAAGAAUUUAAUUUUGUGUGAGGCACUGCGGAGUGUAGACAAGAAAAGCGGAACUUAAGCUACUGUGGCCUCAUAUUAUUCUCUUUACCCGCGGAAAAGCCCAGUGAAGAAGGAACAGUAAAGUCAAGAGGUUUCCAAGCUGGCUACACCACAUUCGACACCUAAGAAAAACGAACAGCAAUCUGAAUUGGAUAGGAUGGCGGAAAAGAAGAAUUGAUUGCUCGAACAUGAAAUGUCGAUCAGAAAGAAUCAUCUUCAGAGACUGCGAAAUCAUCGGCAGUUCCAGACGAAUCCGUUAGUCCCGAAUGUCGAUAUCUAGCAACACGAUCUAAUGUGUUGACUUGAGUGUUGACUCGAACUUCAGGGACCAAGUGUGGUGUUGUUUACGACUUUACGCACAUACAGACUAGUCUUAUGUCCAAUUUUGUUUUUUCAAUUGAAAAAAAAAUGGCAAAAAACAGUCCUUCGGUUCGGGUAUAUGUACCUUGCGUCCUUGCUAACGCAGCUGACAGUCGUACCGUCUGUAUAGAUGCUAAGGGCUGUCACUAGAUGGAUAAAUAUUUCAGUGUGUUUAGGGAUUGAACUAUUCAGCCCUUGACUGUUGGUAAGGACCGUAUAUCAUUUUCAUUUCAUGAUCACAUGUUCAUGCGUCACACGUUAGUCUUUGCGGGGUACUUUCUUUCCUCACUCUUUUCCUCAUAAAAGGUAACAUAGCCUUCAAUUUAUGCUUGGCACUUCCAUCUGAUCACGUGGCCUUUACAUUUUCCCAAAAUGUCGUCUCUUGCUGCACGUACCGCCUUUUCGUUUCGUCACAUGCAGCAACAAUCCAGGACAGUAAAACAAUUGAGUUUUUUUCUCCAAGUAGGAAUACAGCCUUUUAAGGUAGGAGCCUCUAAGUUCAAUGUGCAUUGUUGCAGUUGCAGUCAGCUGGCAGGUAGUCGUCUUGCAGGUUUGCUUGCUAUCUGUACAGUGUACCUUUCGUCACAUGCAGCAACCCUUCAGAACAGUUUAAAAUAAUGGAGUUGGUCUGGUUUUUAUGGAAUACAGCCUGUUAAGGUCUGAGCUCUCAGUAGGAUGUGCACACGGAUUUGUUGCAGACAUCUGGCAAAAGGUGUUCUUCUUGCUGGCUUGCUUGCUUCUUGUACAGUUUGUAGCUCUCGUCACAUUCAGAAAUACUUCAGAACAAUUUAAAGUUAAACCAUGCUGUCAUUUUGUUCAUGUCACACAUGACUUUAUUUUCUGAUAGUUAUUGAGUUUUUUCUCCAAGUAGGAAUACAACCUCUUAAGGUCGGAGGCUUCAAGCCUCUUGAUAGCAGUCCAAUGUGCAGAUGACUAGGUGCAGCCAGCUGGUGUACGGUGUGGUGACAGGUGAGCUGUUCAUGCAGACUAGUGCUGAUGUUGAGUGUAAAAUUCUGUCUACCAGGUGGUGAAGUGUCUUUCCGUUAGUGAGAAUGAGGUGACGAAAUCCCGCCAAUUGCUUUUAAUACAGUGGACUGGGAUAUGUUGCUGACGGUAUUUUUCGAUUCUACAUUUAAGAACGAUUGAGGUAUUCCGACACCCUUCGACCAAGCUGAAUCGAAAGUGAACAACUUUAAAGCAGGUUUAUCGAAGAUCAUGCAUUUCUCCACGUGGUCGCUGCCGUGUCAUGUAGAUGCGUCUUUGAGAGGGUUUUUCCUAUAUUGUAAGACAAUAUUGUGAUGAAAACAGGAAAUUAUGUUGCUUUAUAGUUGUCGGGCAUAUUUUAUCGGCUGCUUUGUGUCGAUAUGUUAUUUUCUGCUACCUGUACCGGUUUUGAGUCAAUCGCUCGCCGCCGUUCCAUUGCUGAAACUGAAGAGACUGCUGAAAUUCAAGAGAAUGCUGAAAUUUAAAGACUGAUAAAUUAUGUAGAUGAUUUUAAGUGCAUAUCUGUACUUCUUCUCCCCAUUUUCUUUAGUAAGCAGUAACCAACCUCCCCCCCCUCGUUCUAGCUGGUUAAUCACCAGCUGUGAUAAUGCGGUAAGACGCAUGAUUUGUGGGAAAUUUGGAGGGUUAUGAGGGAAACUAUUCUAUGAUUAUUUGCUCCCUUAAUAUUUGUUUCAGAACUCCACUUUUACAAUUCUACUGCAAGGUCUGUCCUAUAAUUAUUUGCUCCUUAACCCAUAACAAUCACAACUCUGUAAACUGUUGUCCUACAAAACCUUACCUGAUAUUUAUAUAUCUAAUUACUAUUCAAUAACAUACCCACAACAAAUAAAACCUUAAAUGUUAUAAAUUAUCAUGAGUUUUAUAUUGAAAUAAAAACAAUGAAUAAUUUUAUUCAA